GAACCGGUAUCAAACAAAAACAUCCCGCUUUUAGCUUUCGUACAUUUCUCCUUGAUGUGGGCCGUCGAAGAAAAUGGAUUCAAGCCACGAAGAGGGAGGAGGGAACACUAUUUAACGUCUAUAAUGUCACAGUUGUUUGUAGCAUAGCAUUUUCGUAUUAGCGACCUGUUCGGAAUAGCUAGCUUCUAACGUUAGCGCUUUAAGUAAAGCCAUGUAGAGUUAAAUAAGACAGUGCAUUGUGUUUGUUCAACGGUCUCUGACACAACCCAAGCCAGGACGUCUGUUUUCACGACGACAACGAGGGACUGGGGUUGUUUGAGAAGUCCAACCGUGUGGAAAGGAAGAUGUUGCUGUUGCUAGCUUAGCUAGCUUUGCUUCGGACAACGAACUAACGAACGACCGUCCCGGUGCAUUGGAUGCAAGCUCACACGAGGAUAAAGGAACUGGAGGUGCUUGUGUUGACAUGACAUCAAUGAAGGUAAUUCGUCUCACCAAGUCCUCCCCUCGGAAAUGUCUGACUUGGUGUCAGUGACUGUCACACCAGGGAAGGGAAGGCUAGUGACCACAAGCUAACCUUGCUCCCAGAUGGAUCACAACAAAGCCACAGAAGAAACCUUGACCUGCCAGAGAUCCACGUAGUGAUCCACGUACUCCAGCCCCUGCCUCAUAGCUGUGGUUUGCCAUGCUUCCUUGAGGAUCCUCCCUGCCAACCACUGCCGGGUCUUAUUCCCCCUGGCAGCAAGGACUUCAUGACUUGCUUUGAGCCUGCUCUCUUCACAGAUGGCUCAGAGUGUACAUACAUACACACAUAUAUAUAGAUAAUUGGGUUAUAGUUUGUUCAUUGUGUUCAUUUUGUGUGUACUUUUCUAUGUUUUGUAUUUCUAUAAUGUCCACACGUUUUUCAAUAAAACAUGUGUCUUGUUGGUACUUUGA